rnacentral:lncRNA from 1 species
GAUUCUUUAUGAUCCUUUAAUAAGUCAUUUAUAUAAUCCAACUCUUUUUUCAAUAAUGAAACUCGUAACUCAUAAUAACUUAGGAUGUUUUAAUCUCCCACCAUAUCUUUCAAUAGCUUCAAUAAUCUUCUUAAAACUAUCUAAACGACAAGUACUAAGGGGAAGGCUAGCCUAAUAGAAGAAGCAAGCAAUAUGCUAAAUUAUUCUUCCCCUUAUUUACUUAUAUUUGUUUAUCUUAAUUUUGAUCCUGCUUACGCUUAUUGCUUUUGUGAUCCUUGAUACAUAUAUAAGUCCAUCAGUUCCUUUUUACCAUUCUUAACAACUAUAGCUUCUUUUCCUUUUCUUUCAUAUACUCAUUUUCCACUUAAAUGGACACUUUUAGAAUAAUUUUCUUCUUCUUCAUCUCUAAUAUGUUCAACAAUAUCCUCUGGUAAAAAUCUCAUAAGAUUCAUUCCUUUGUAUCCUUUUUUUAGUCAUAUAAACCAGCAUCUCUUCUUUUACAUUAGGUGAACACUUCUUGUAGAUUGAUGCAUUCUUGAAAUUUCU